UGGCGGACGGGUGAGUAAUGUCUGGGAAACUGCCCGAUGGAGGGGGAUAACUACUGGAAACGGUAGCUAAUACCGCAUAACGUCGCAAGACCAAAGAGGGGGACCUUCGGGCCUCUUGCCAUCGGAUGUGCCCAGAUGGGAUUAGCUAGUAGGUGGGGUAACGGCUCACCUAGGCGACGAUCCCUAGCUGGUCUGAGAGGAUGACCAGCCACACUGGGACUGAGACACGGCCCAG
rnacentral:rRNA from 1 species